AAAAACUUAAUUCAAAUCUUAAAUACAGCUUUCAUCAAGUUUUUUCUUCUUGGCACGUGAGCAUCAACUCUUCGAGAAAUACAAAUCACAAAACUAAACCAUCAUAUUUGAUUUGAACCUAACAACCUUAUAAAAUUGCAAAUAUUGAACAAAAUAAUUUGUAUAUGACUGGCCCUGUCGAAUUGUUCCUUGUCAGUUCUUGGAGCCAUAAAUUACUUUUUUUUUGUUCACAUCCGGGCUUGAGUGGACAAACAAAAGACAUUGAGCAUGUGAUGCUUGAAAUGCACCUGCGUUUAAGGCAACUGGACAGGGUGCAAACAGCUAUUCCUCCAUCCAUAAUGAUGAUAUUUCACAAAAAAAGCCUUAACUUUGUCACCACCGAACAACCGAUGCAAAACCGAAAAAA